rnacentral:ncRNA from 1 species
CGAAACGGAAUUAAAAGGGAAUCCUGUGCAAAUCAGGAACUAUCCCCGUAGCUGUAAGUUUUAUCCUCCCAUAGUGUGGGGAAGUGUUGUGACAUUCUUAGCCACUGGUUAUUGUGAAAACCGGGAAGGCGUUACAACGGAAACAAGUCAGAAGACCUGCCGUUAUUGUUUA